rnacentral:rRNA from 1 species
ACGGAGGGUGCGAGCGUUAUCCGGAAUCACUGGGUUUAAAGGGUGCGUAGGCGGCGUUAUAAGUCAGAGGUGAAAGGCACGAGCUUAACUGGUGAAUUGCCUUUGAUACUGUAAUGCUUGAAUUAGGUUGAGGUUAGCGGAAUGUGACAUGUAGCGGUGAAAUGCAUAGAUAUGUCAUAGAACACCAAUUGCGUAGGCAGCUAGCUAGGCUUUAAUUGACGCUGAGGCACGAAAGCGUGGGGAGCGAACAGG